rnacentral:lncRNA from 1 species
UAAUCAUUGUUUUUUUUUCCUGAUGAUUUAAUACAAAUGUUCUUUUUAGUGCUACUGUUGCUGCCAUGUUAAAGCAUCUUCUUUUCUCAGGCAUGCCAAGAGCUACCGCAAAGAGAAGAAAACAGGGUGUCUCUUAACUCUACUUUCCUGGGGCUGGCAGUGGGCUGGAAGCUGAGACCUGCCCAUCCGCCUGGUGCUUGUGAGCAAGGCUCCCUCACACGCUGUUUUGAUCCAGGUUGGGAGUAACCUUC